rnacentral:rRNA from 1 species
UACGUAGGGUGCGAGCGUUGUCCGGAAUUACUGGGCGUAAAGAGCUCGUAGGUGGUUUUGUCGCGUUGUUCGUGAAAAACUCACAGCUUAACUGUGGGCGUGCGGGGCGAUACGGGGCAGACUGGAGUACUGCAGGGGGAGACUGGAAUUCCUGGUGUAGCGGUGGGAAUGCGCAGAUAUCAGGGAGGGAAACACCCGGGUGGGCGAAAGGCGGGGUCUCUGGGGCAGUAAACUGACGCUGGAGGGAGCGAAAAAGCCGUGGGGGGGAGCGAAACAGGGAUUUAGAAAACCCCC